rnacentral:rRNA from 1 species
AAUGAACGUUGGCGGCGUGGAUUAGGCAUGCAAGUCGUACGGACCGUGGUAGCAAUAUUACGGUUAGUGGCGCAAGGGAGAGUAAUACGUAGGUAUUUACCCUGGGGUCUGGGAUAGCGGCGGGAAACUGCCGGUAAUACCAGAUGAUAUCUCCGGAUCAAAGGUGUGAUUCCGCCCUAGGAGAAGCCUGCGGUCUAUCAGCUAGUUGGUAGGGUAACGGCCUACCAAGGCAAAGACGGAUAUGGGGCGUGAGAGCGUGCCCCCACUCACUGGGACUGAGACACUGCCCAGACCCCUACGGGUGGCUGCAGUCGAGAAGCUUCGGCAAUGGGCGCAAGCCUGACCGAGCGACGCCGCGUGCGGGAUGAAGGCCUUCGGGUUGUAAACCGCUGUCGAAGGGGAGGAGAUUGUAGUGGGUUCACCCAUUAUAUUGACCGAUCCUUGGAGGAAGGGCCGGCUAAUCUCGUGCCAGCCGCCGCAGUAA